CUACGGGAGGCAGCAGUGAGGAAUAUUGGACAAUGGAGGCAACUCUGAUCCAGCCAUGCCGCGUGCAGGAAGACUGCCCUAUGGGUUGUAAACUGCUUUUAUACGGGAAGAACCACACCUACGUGUAGGUGCUUGACGGUACCGUAUGAAUAAGGAUCGGCUAACUCCGUGCCAGCAGCCGCGGUAAUACGGAGGAUCCAAGCGUUAUCCGGAAUCAUUGGGUUUAAAGGGUCCGUAGGCGGGACAAUAAGUCAGUGGUGAAAGUCUGCCGCUUAACGGUAGAAUUGCCAUUGAUACUGUUGUUCUUGAAUUAGUAUGAAGUGGUUGGAAUGAGUAGUGUAGCGGUGAAAUGCAUAGAUAUUACUCAGAACACCUAUUGCGAAGGCAGAUCACUAAUACUAUAUUGACGCUGAUGGACGAAAGCGUAGGUAGCGAACAGGAUUAGAUACCCGUGUAGUCCA
rnacentral:rRNA from 1 species